GAUGAACGCUAGCGGCAGGCCUAACACAUGCAAGUCGAGGGGUAACUAGAGUGAUAGCAAUAUUACUUUGGCUAGACCGGCGCACGGGUGCGUAACACGUAUGCAACCUACCUUAUACUGGGGAAUAACUUCGAGAAAUCGGCGCUAAUACCUCAUAACAUUGCGAAGAGGCAUCUCUUUGCAAUUAAAGCUCCGGCGGUAUAAGAUGGGCAUGCGUCCAAUUAGCUAGUUGGUGAGGUAACGGCUCACCAAGGCUACGAUUGGUAGGGGUUCUGAGAGGAUGAUCCCCCACACUGGUACUGAGACACGGACCAGACUCCUACGGGAGGCAGCAGUGAGGAAUAUUGCGCAAUGGACGAAAGUCUGACGCAGCCAUGCCGCGUGCAGGAUGACGGCCCUAUGGGUUGUAAACUGCUUUUGUACGGGAAUAAACCCUUCUACGUGUAGGAGGCUGAAAGUACCGUAAGAAUAAGCACCGGCUAACUCCGUGCCAGCCGCCGCGGUAACAC
rnacentral:rRNA from 1 species